rnacentral:tRNA from 1 species
GGAUUCUGGCUCAGUGGUAGAGUGCUCGCCUAUCAGGUGUAAGACCCUGGGUUCAAUUCUCAGCACCA